rnacentral:rRNA from 1 species
GAUGAACGCUGGCGGCGCGCCUAAUACAUGCAAGUCGAGCGAACAGACAAGGAGCUUGCUCCUUUGACGUUAGCGGCAGACGGGUGAGUAACACGUGGGUAACCUACCUAUAAGACUGGGAUAACUUCGGGAAACCGGAGCUAAUACCGGAUAAUAUUUCGAACCGCAUGGUUCGAUAGUGAAAGAUGGUUUUGCUAUCACUUAUAGAUGGACCCGCGCCGUAUUAGCUAGUUGGUAAGGUAACGGCUUACCAAGGCGACGAUACGUAGCCGACCUGAGAGGGUGAUCGGCCACACUGGAACUGAGACACGGUCCAGACUCCUACGGGAGGCAGCAGUAGGGAAUCUUCCGCAAUGGGCGAAAGCCUGACGGAGCAACGCCGCGUGAGUGAUGAAGGUCUUCGGAUCGUAAAACUCUGUUAUUAGGGAAGAACAUACGUGUAAGUAACUAUGCACGUCUUGACGGUACCUAAUCAGAAAGCCACGGCUAACUACGUGCCAGCAGCCGCGGUAAUACGUAGGUGGCAAGCGUUAUCCGGAAUUAUUGGGCGUAAAGCGCGCGUAGGCGGUUUUUUAAGUCUGAUGUGAAAGCCCACGGCUCAACCGUGGAGGGUCAUUGGAAACUGUAAAACUUGAGUGCAGAAGAGGAAAGUGGAAUUCCAUGUGUAGCGGUGAAAUGCGCAGAGAUAUGGAGGAACACCAGUGGCGAAGGCGACUUUCUGGUCUGUAACUGACGCUGAUGUGCGAAAGCGUGGGGAUCAAACAGGAUUAGAUACCCUGGUAGUCCACGCCGUAAACGAUGAGUGCUAAGUGUUAGGGGGUUUCCGCCCCUUAGUGCUGCAGCUAACGCAUUAAGCACUCCGCCUGGGGAGUACGACCGCAAGGUUGAAACUCAAAGGAAUUGACGGGGACCCGCACAAGCGGUGGAGCAUGUGGUUUAAUUCGAAGCAACGCGAAGAACCUUACCAAAUCUUGACAUCCUUUGACAACUCUAGAGAUAGAGCCUUCCCCUUCGGGGGACAAAGUGACAGGUGGUGCAUGGUUGUCGUCAGCUCGUGUCGUGAGAUGUUGGGUUAAGUCCCGCAACGAGCGCAACCCUUAAGCUUAGCUGCCAUCAUUAAGUUGGGCACUCUAAGUUGACUGCCGGUGACAAACCGGAGGAAGGUGGGGAUGACGUCAAAUCAUCAUGCCCCUUAUGAUUUGGGCUACACACGUGCUACAAUGGACAAUACAAAGGGCAGCGAAACCGCGAGGUCAAGCAAAUCCCAUAAAGUUGUUCUCAGUUCGGAUUGUAGUCUGCAACUCGACUACAUGAAGCUGGAAUCGCUAGUAAUCGUAGAUCAGCAUGCUACGGUGAAUACGUUCCCGGGUCU